UACGGGGGGGGCAAGCGUUGUUCGGAAUUACUGGGCGUAAAGGGCUCGUAGGCGGCCAACUAAGUCAGACGUGAAAUCCCUCGGCUUAACCGGGGAACUGCGUCUGAUACUGGAUGGCUUGAGUUCGGGAGAGGGAUGCGGAAUUCCAGGUGUAGCGGUGAAAUGCGUAGAUAUCUGGAGGAAGACCGGUGGCGAAGGCGGUCUGCUGGGCAGUUUCUGACACUGAUGCGCGACAGCGUGGGGAGCAAACAGG
rnacentral:rRNA from 1 species